AACCCAGACUCCUACGGGAGGCAGCAGUGGGGAAUAUUGCACAAUGGGGGAAACCCUGAUGCAGCGACGCCGCGUGAGUGAAGAAGUAUCUCGGUAUGUAAACUUCUAUCAGCAGGGAAGAAAAUGACGGUACCUGACUAAGAAGCCCCGGCUAACUACGUGCCAGCAGCCGCGGUAAUACGUAGGGGGCAAGCGUUAUCCGGAUUCACUGGGUGUAAAGGGAGCGUAGACGGAUGGAUAAGUCUGAAGUGAAAGCCCGCGGCUCAACUGCGGGACUGCUUUGGAAACUGUGCAUCUUGAAUACGGGAGGGGCAGGCGGAAUUCCUGGUGUAGCGGUGAAAUGCGUAGAUAUCAGGAGGAACACCGGCGGCGAAGGCGGCCUGCUGGACCGAAACUGACGUUGAGGCUCGAAAGCGUGGGGAGCAAACAGGAUUAGAUACCCUAGUA
rnacentral:rRNA from 1 species